rnacentral:rRNA from 1 species
GAGGAAAAGAAACCAACAGGGAUUGCCCUAGUAACGGCGAGUGAAGCGGCAACAGCUCAAAUUUGAAAUCUGGCCUCCUUCGGUGGUCCGAGUUGUAAUUUGCAGAGGGUGCUUUGGCGUCGGCAGCGGUCUAAGUUCCUUGGAACAGGACAUCACAGAGGGUGAGAAUCCCGUACGUGGUCGCCUGCCUUCGCCGUGUAAAGCCCCUUCGACGAGUCGAGUUGUUUGGGAAUGCAGCUCUAAAUGGGAGGUAAAUUUCUUCUAAAGCUAAAUACCGGCCAGAGACCGAUAGCGCACAAGUAGAGUGAUCGAAAGAUGAAAAGCACUUUGGAAAGAGAGUCAAACAGCACGUGAAAUUGUUGAAAGGGAAGCGCUUGCAGCCAGACUUGCCCGUAGUUGCUCAUCGGAACUCUUGCUCCGAGCACUCUUCUGCGGGCAGGCCAGCAUCAGUUUGGGCGACCGGAUAAUGGCCUCUGUCAUGUAUCUUCCUUCGGGAUGACCUUAUAGGGGAGGCGUAAUGCGGCCAGCCCGGACUGAGGUCCGCGCAUCUGCUAGGAUGCUGGCGUAAUGGCUGUAAGCGGCCCGUCUUGAAACACGGACCAAGGAGUCUAACAUCUAUGCGAGUGUUUGGGUGUCAAGCCCGGGCGCGUAAUGAAAGUGAACGGAGGUGGGAACCCUCUCGGGGGUGCACCAUCGACCGAUCCUGAUGUCUUCGGAUGGAUUUGAGUAAGAGCAUAGCUGUUGGGACCCGAAAGAUGGUGAACUAUGCUUGAAUAGGGUGAAGCCAGAGGAAACUCUGGUGGAGGCUCGCAGCGGUUCUGACGUGCAAAUCGAUCGUCAAAUUUGGGCAUAGGGGCGAAAGACUAAUCGAAC